rnacentral:lncRNA from 10 species
UUCAGUUGGAAACGUAUCCUUAUCUAAUAAUUAAGCCCUGGAGAAAAAUUAAUUUAUAUAUUUUAUUAAUUACAUAAGGACAUUGUUAUUAGCUAAGCAGAGUAAGUAAAUCGAAAUAAAACUUUAAAAAUGCCUUUAUGGAGAGAAUGACUAUCUCUGAAAGCUUGUUUUUAAUGAUGAUAAAAUUCAUGAUCAGAAUUUGUUUCUGUUUGCUUUAAUUCAGGGGUCAAAAACUGAAAUACCAUCAGAGGCCCAGGAGGGGCUAGUUGUAACUGGCAAAUAUAGUAAAUUAAUUUGCUCUGGUUGAUAGGUAGCAAGCAGGGUUUAUAUACAUUGUCACCUACUUUUCCAGUUAACAGGAGAGACUGGAGAUUUUAUGAAAUUUGAUAUUUAAAUGUUGGUAACUGGGUUGGGCACCAUGGCUCACACCUCUAAUCCCAGCACUUCGGGAGGCUGAGGCGGGUGGAGCACCUGAGGUCAGGAGUUAAAGACCAUCCUGACCAGCCUGGUGAAACACAGUCUCUAAUAAAGAUACAAAAAUUAGGCCGGGUGUGGUGGCUCAUGCCGGUAAUCCCAGCACUUUGGGGAGGCCAAGGUGGGCGGAUCACCUGAGUCAGGAGUUUGAGACCAGCCUGCCUAAAUGGUGAAAACCUGUUUCUACUAAAAAUACAAAAAAGUAGCUGGGCGUGGUGGUGGGCGCCUGUAAUCCCAGCUACUCUGGGGGCUGAGGCAGGAGAAUCACUUAAACCCAGGAGGCAGAGGUUGCAGUGAGCCGAGAUCACACCACUGUACUCCAGCCUGGGUGACAGAGCGAGACUGUCCAAAAAAAAAAUUGAUAAUUAAAUGUUAAAAGUCAGCGACUCCAGUAAUACGUGGUGGGCUGAGUAUUAGACUACUGGCUUACAUCCUCUGAUGUCAUUACUUUCUUGUUCGUUUGUGACUUGAGGUUGGAUUUUAAGCAAAUGUAUUUGUGGCUUUUUACCAAGGUCAUAUGGCCAGAUAACUUUUCAAAAGCAUUAGUUAAAGAAUUCUGAUUAGUUUGAAUUAGAAACAAAACUCAAAGAACAUGACCUAAUUUAACAGGUUAAUUUGAAGUGCAUCUGCCAAGUAGAAGACCAGCAAGAAAAAAAAAAUGGGUUCCUAGGAAGAGGUAGUAGGUUGCAUAGUUUUAGGGCAGGGAUUUUGCCCACAAGGAGGUAACUAUACGACCUGCUGCCUUUCUUAGGGCCUUAUUAUUCACCGAUAACCUGUUUCCUUGCUACUUUGCUUUGGUGUAAGCAGAGUUCUUUCUGUAGGUUUUUUCAAAUGAAAACAUUGCAAGAAUAUCAAAGAGAGCAGUGUUUGCGUUAGUGAUUAUAAACUGCAGCAUGGUGCUGACAUUGAUAACUGAAAGUCAACUAAUGAGAAUUUGAGACUUCUGAAGUACACUUAGUUGCUAGUGUCUCCCUUUUGGUGUCACUGGAAAGUUUAGAAAGCAUGGUUUUGUUUUUGCUCAGGUUUCUCUUUCUGUGAUGCAGAGACUCUCAGCUGUUCCUCCUCUAUGUCUACAUUAUGUCUGAAGGAAAGAAUUUAACAAAACUUGAAAUACUGCUGUUUUUCUACAAUGUUUGUAAAUAUUUAUCUUGCUGCUUUUCUAGGUUUGUCUUCUGGAUUUAAAAUUUGGGGCGGCUGGGGUGGAAUUGCAUGGUUUGGGAAUGGGUAAUUGAGCUGCUGCUCAUUAUGGUAUGUAACAGUGAUUUGUCUGUUUAAUAUGUACAAGAACUGGAAGGUCAAUAAAAUGAAAGUGGUUGUCUUGACUGGGUAAUAGUGUUACAUAUUUUGUUAAAAGUUAUACAUCUUUUCAAUAAAAACACUGCAUACUUCAAAACUAGUGCUUUUUAAGUCAUCCUUAACCCUUAUCCCCAUCCUUGCAGUAGUAGAUGCAUUUUUCAUUUGUAAUUAUUAUGAUUUGUUCUUAGUUUCAUUUUUCAUUAGCAAUAAUUUGGUGAUUGGAUGGUCAUUUACAGAUGUUUUAAUAAAGCUAACACGAGCAAUUUCCAGCUCUUCCAUUUUUGUAAACACUUGUGUGACUUUGUACAGACAAUUAACUGCUCAGGAUCACCCUCCUUUUUGUUUUGUUUUUGAGAUGGUCUCAUUCCGUCACCCAUGCUGGAGUGUAGUGAAAUGAUCACAGCUCACUGCAGCCUUGACCUCCCGGACUCAAGCUUCCUAGUAACUGGGACUACAGGUGCAUACAACCAUGCCUGGCUAAUUUUAUUUUUGUAGAGACGGUUUCACCAUAUUGCCCAGACUGGUCUUGAACUCCUGAUUAUCCUCUGGCUUUUACCUCCCAAAGUGCUGGCCAGGACAGCCUCCUUUCUUUACUUGAGUAAUUAUUUGAGUUUGCUCAGGCAGACACUACCUUGUAAAAACUCUUAUGUCUCAUUUCACUAGUCUAGUUUGAGCAUUUAUCAUUCUAGGAAUGAGACGAAUUUGUGCAUUAGCAUUCCAUCUUUUUCCAACUACUAUGAACAGUAGUAUUUUUUUUUAUUUUAUUUUAUUUUUUGAGACAAAAUCUCACUGUUUCCCAGGCUAGAGUGCAGUGGUGUGAUCUCAGCUCACUGCUGCAACCUCCACCUCCUGGGUAGAGUAGACAGGAUUUAGGUAAUUUUUUGUAUUUUUAUUAGAGACAGGGUUUCACUAUGUUGGCCAGGCUGGUCUUGAACUCCUGGCCUCAAGUGAUCCACCGGCCGUGGCCUUCCAGAGUGCUGGGAUUACAGGUGUGAACCACCCUUGCCUGAUCAUGAGCAGUAAUACAUUUAAAAGUCUCCAGGGGUGAGAAAGUUGAAAGGAAAUUCAGUGGAGUUUCCCAUCCUGCCCCUCUGCUGCCUAGCCCCUUGCUCCAGUGGAAGGAAGAAUCGUGAUCUAGGGAUGUUCUCAUACUUGGGGCUUUAAAUUUCCUUUAUGAAUUGAGAUGGUUGGGUAUGUUUUCUAAGGUACCUUACAUGGUACAGUUCUUUAAAGUUGAAGAUUUAAGUUGUGGCAAAAUUGCAUCAAUUUCAUGUGCACUGAUUUAGGCGAAGAUGCGUAGGAAAAGAGCAAGGAAAUGAGGUGUGAUAGGAUUGGGGUAAUUUCAAAAUGAGUAUUUCUGCCUGGCCUAGUGGUUCACGCCUGUAAUCACAGCACUUUGGGAGGCCAAGGCAGGCAGAUCCCCUGAGGUCAAGAGUUCGAGACCAGCCUGGCCAACAUGAUGAAACCCCAUCUUACUAAAAAAAAGUAGCUGGCAUGGUGGUGGGCUACUUGUGAGGCUGAUGUAAGGAGAACCGCUUGAACCAGGGAGGUGGAGGUUGCAGUGACCAGAGAUUACGCUAUUGCACUCCAGCUUGGACGACAGAGCAAGACUGUCUUAAAAAUGUUUCUAGUUUCACUUAUUCUAAAUUUAUGUCUAACCAUUUUUAGUGAAGUAUUUGAGUCACAUCAGCUAGCCUUUUUCCUACAGCGUUGAAGUAAUUUUCUAGGUUCCUUGCUCUCCCCCCAUUUUAUUUCCUACUUUGCUUUCUGUUGUUGGGGUCCUAUGGGGAGGGCUGGGAAAGGAGUUGGGCCCUCUUAGGACUGGUCAUCAAUCUUUGUUCUGAGCAGUGUUUUGUUUUCUGGUUGAAUGGCUGACCUGAAGGAAGCAUCAGACUCCUUGGGAUUCUGAAAUCCUAUUUCUUGAUAGAAACCCAUAACUUAUUUUAGUUUGACUUAAAAACGAUCCAUAAGUAAGCAUGCAGGGUUGGUGUAACUGCAUUGAACUGGUAACAUCAGAAACACGGGUAGAAAUGAGGUACCCCAGUGAUACGGAAGCUUUGUGACUGAUGUCCUGGAUUCUUUCUAGCUUUUCUUCCAGCCCUAACACAUGGUUUCCAUUCUCAAGGUUACCUCUGUAACAACUGACUGCUAUAACUGGCCACGUCGUUUUUCCAUUCAUGAAGAUGGAAAAAGGAAAAGGCAGAAGGGACACUUUUAUGGUUGAAUUCAUUUAGUUUUCUCAAGAAAUGCCACCUAGUGACUCCUUUACGUGUAAUCCCUUGGAACUAUCACAGACUAGACCAAGGAAUCCUGGAAAGUGGUCCUGGCAGGACUGAUUGCCAGGCUGAAUACAAUCAGGGUCCCACUAGUAAGGAGGGGAGAAAGGAAAUAACACAGAUAGUUAUCUGCAGUAAUUGGCAUUAGGAAAAAAAACUUGACAAAGACUGACAAGCUCUGUUCCACUCCUGCCAUUUAAAGAAAAACACACACACGCAUAAAAACACCAAGUGGCCUCAGAUGGGCAGCACUCCUCCUGACCCUGGGCUUCAGAAAUUUUCACUGGGAGUCUGAUGAGGCUCAGCCACAGUUGUGUGGGACUGUUCUCAAUUUCAAGCAGAGGAGCAGAGAAAGCUGGUUAGUUGCGGAGGCUUCCCACAUUACUUGGACCCUACAAUAUAUAUGACUUCUAUCACAGGACAUGGUACAGAACUGGAACAAUAAAGCAUUUUUUAAAAUUUAAUUUCUUGAGCAAUUUUAGUUUCACAGCAAAAUUGAGCAGAAAGUAUAGUGUUCACAUAUACUUCCCUGUUUAUUACGCACACACUGCCUUCCUCACUACUGAAGUCCUGACCAUAAUGGUACAUUUUAAUAAAGCAGUUUGUUUUUCCCUUUUCUUUGAAGUUGUUCCAUCAUGAGAAUUAGGCUAAAAGUCUUAGCUUACUGCCCCAUGGAAGGAAGGACAAAUAGCAAUGACCAAGCAACGUAUUUUUAGCUUUGAGGCCAAAAUUGGCUGAAAAUGACAGAAGCAGUUACUUCAGAGAAAAUGAUUUUUUGCAGUUCUGCAUAAAUUUGAAGAGGUAAACCUGGAUUGCUGAGAACAAUGAGUUAUAUGCAGUGGACUAGAGGAAGAUGCAUAUUCAACCAUGUCUUUUUUUCCAUCCAAGAAGAGUUACUAGCAAGCAGUAAGAUGAGAGGAAAUGAAACCAGUCAGACUGCUGAGUGCUGGAGAAGCGGUCCCUGUGCACACUCCGGCAUGGGCAUGGAUGUACAUGAAGCAUGGCACCAACAGCUGCUCCUGUGAGGCCUCAAGAAGCUUACAAUCGUGGCAGAAGCUGAAGGGGGAGCCAGCGUGUGGCAUGGCAAGGGAAGGAGCAAGAGAGAGAGGGAGGAGCUGCCAGGCUCUUGAACAACCAGAUCUCACGUGAACUCACAGAUUGAAAUUCACUCAUUACUGUGAGGACACACCAAGCCAUUUAUGAGGGAUGCACCCCUAUGACCCAAACACCUCCUACUAGGCCCACCUCCAACAUCAGAGGUCACAUGAAACGAGAUGUAUAGGGGACAAAACAGUCAAACCAUAUCAGUCCCACCAGCAAGAAGGCUCUCACUGGAUGUGGUCCCUUGAUCUUGGACUUCUCAGCCUCUGUAACUGUAAAAAAUAAAUUUUGUUUCUUAUAAAUU